rnacentral:rRNA from 1 species
GAUCCUGGCUCAGAACGAACGCUGGCGGCGUGCCUGAACACAUGCAAGUCGCGCGAGAAAAUGGGGGCAACUCCAUGAGUACAGCGGCGCACGGGUGAGUAACACGUAGGUAACCUACCUCCGAGACCGGGAUAACCUUCCGAAAGGAGGGCUAAUACCGGAUGAGACCACGGGACCCUGGUCCUGCGGUCAAAGGUGGCCUCUGCAUGCAAGCUAUUACUCGAAGAUGGGCCUGCGCACCAUUAGCUAGUUGGCGAGGUAACGGCUCACCAAGGCUAAGAUGGUUAGCUGGUCUGAGAGGAUGAUCAGCCACACUGGGACUGAGACACGGCCCAGACUCCUACGGGAGGCAGCAGUGGGGAAUAUUGGACAAUGGGGGAAACCCUGAUCCAGCGACGCCGCGUGGGUGAUGAAGGCCUUCGGGUCGUAAAGCCCUGUCUGGGGGACGAACCCUCCGCCGGUGAAUAAUCGGCGGAGCUGACGGUACCCCCGAAGGAAGCACCGGCUAACUCUGUGCCAGCAGCCGCGGUAA